UUGAGGCGACUGGGGUGCUGAGGAACGGCCGCAGGAGGAGGAGGCCGGUGGACGAGGGGCGGGCAGCUCUGGAGCCACGCAGGGUCGGGGAGCCGAGCGCGUCCGAAAGCGGCGGGAGGGGCGACCGGGACUCCGCGCUCCCGGCUGGUGCGGGUGGAGCGGCCGCCGCCUGCGGGGCCCAGUCGGACGCGGGCCUCGCGUCCCCGCCGCAGGCUGGCGGACGAGUAUUCGGGUGCGAGUCAGAACGGGGAAACGUGUCGCGUAAGUACAAAUAGUGGGGCUGAGAAUCGGCCGCUGAACACUGCCAAAAUGGAAUGCGUUAUUCCGACUGGAAGUCUGUUCUCAUGAAUGGCGACAGAAAGACCGAGCGUGCAGCCUGCUGACCGUCCUAGGAACGACGGGAACACACACACACCGUUACCAUACUAGAGGCCUCGGACCGGAUCCCCCCCAGCCACUCCGGAGGAGAGUGGAGCCUCGGCCAUGAGCUGCUGGUGAGGGUGGAAGGCCAGCAGGGGUCCCCGAAAGGCCCCUCACUGGCGGGUGGUAGCCACAACCCCAGGAAGUGGUCAGCUCAACUCCCCUCCUCCCACAGCAGCUCUCACAAGGCCACCGCCGAAGUUCUAAGUGCCAUGUCCGACCCCUGCCCCAAUUCCACAUUCUUCGUCUGGAUCGUUUACUACUAUGGGUCAUCUUAGAGUCAGGGUAGGAGCCCUUGGGCCUCUCCUGGUGACUGCACUUUCCUGUUCUGAGACUUGAUGCCUUGAAAGUGAGUCCCCAGAGCCCAGCCUUUUUUCCAAGUACAGGGGACAUUUCACUCGCUGUAACUGCUGAGUCCUUGCACCACGCCCUUCAGAAGUGGACAGAAAGGAUUUUAAUUGCCCAGCAAGAGAGAGAGAGAUGCUGCGUGCCGCUGGUUCAUCGCCCUGCAGAGCCAGUGACAACAGAGGUCUGCUAAUUCACUUAUCACCACAAAGUUCGGUCUCUGAGCCAGAGUCCCUCUUGCCUUCUGCCAAGCUGCCAGCAGCUCUGGGGAAGAUGAAGGAACUGAGCACUGAGAGGUCGUGUCCUCAAGGCAGCUGGUAGAGGGAGAUGCCAGGGUGGGAACUCUGUCCGUCUUCAUGGCCGCACCCCAGCUUUGAUUGUUUUAACUCCCAGUGAAUGGCCCAUGGCAUGUACUAGGCACUGAGAGUGUCCUUUUUAUUUUUAUAAGUAAGUCAAAACCUGCAUUUCAUAUUUUGCA